rnacentral:rRNA from 1 species
AACGUAGGAGCCUAGCGUUAUCCGAAUUCACUGGGCGUAAAGCGCGUGCAGGCGGUUCGGUAAGUUGGAUGUGAAAUCCCCUGGCUCAACUGGGAGAGGACGUUCAAGACUGUCGGACUAGAGGACGGUAGAGGAAGGUAGAAUUCCCGGUGUAGUGGUGAAAUGCGUAGAUAUCGGGAGGAAUACCAGUGGCGAAGGCGGCCUUCUGGGCCGUUCCUGACGCUCAGACGCGAAAGCUAGGGGAGCAAACGGG